rnacentral:rRNA from 1 species
UACAGAGGUCUCAAGCGUUGUUCGGAUUCAUUGGGCGUAAAGGGUGCGUAGGUGGCGCCGUAAGUCGGGUGUGAAAUUUCGGAGCUUAACUGAGGAACUGCAGCCGAUACUGCCGAUCUCGAGGACGAAAGGGGAGAGUGGAACUUCUGGUGGAGCGGUGAAAUGCGUAGAUAUCAGGAGGAACGCCGGUGGCGAAAGCGACUCUCUGGUUCGUAUCUGACGCUGAGACACGAAAGCGUGGGUAGCAAACAGG